GUGCAGAAAAAGCAUCUGUGUAACUUUAGAUGGCUUUAGCAGUUUUCUCCUAUCAGUAAUCACUUGCCCUGCAUUUGAAAACACCCUUUCGCACGAAACCGAUGUAGCUUGGAUACAAAGCCUUUUCAGAACUAACUCAUAUAAAUGAGGAUAUAUAUGUUUCCGGCUGUGCCACCAUUUUAGAGGAUCCUCUUUUCUGUUCAAGGGUUCUUCAUGCAAAUAUUUGUCUAACUCCCUUAUCCCUGCAGCCACAGUGCUUUCCGGUCGAGUUGCAUGACUCAUCUCAACAUCAAAGACUUCCCAAAUGCUUGUUACCGUAACGUCAGUAGCUACUGCGGGUUGUUCCUGUUUAGGCCGAUCUUCUGCCAUAUUCGAGUCGUUUACCUGGACUCGCACUUCUGCAACUCUACGUCUGAAAUUCUCUAUGGCUCGCUGGUACGCUUCUGAAGUGCGGAAGGCUUUUUGUUUAAACCGUGGAUCUAGAAUUGCUGUGUCAGCAUACAAUGUGUUGGACUCUAAGUCAUGGAAACGAGCAAGAAGAUUGUUUUUUAAUUUAUUUAGCAUAACGGGGAUUUGAGGAAGUUGAUAGUUGUUUUGGGCUAGGCAAUUUACAACAUGCUUCGAUAAAAGCUUGGAAAAUAUCAAUACUUUUGACAGGCUCACAUGUUUUUCUGAGCUGACUUCCUGGGUGACAUCGUAGAAUGGCCUAAGAAUUGGUACGAUACUUUAAAUUAGCUCCCAAUCAGAUCUCUGGAGGCUGAGGUCGCUUCUUAUCAGAGCUAUAGUGCUGAUAACAGCAUCUUUAAUUUUUAAGAGGCGUUCUAACAUGCCAUAACAAGAGUUCCAACGCGUAGGACAUUCCUGCUUUAACUUUAAAAUUGUUAAAUUCAUUUGCUUUUGGGCGACUUCUAAUUUUGAUUGUGCCAGAGAGCUUCUUUUGAAAAAUUCCACUAUACAUUUCACUUUAGAAACUACCUCUGCAAUGGUUUUUAUGCCGUCCUGUACAAUUAAAUUUAAUAAAUGGGCGAAGCAGCCUACAAAUCGCCACUCCCCUAAUCUCACAGCUGAUAAAAUGUUUGGGGCGUUAUCACUCACUAUGCAACUAAUUUUGUUCGUUAUCUGCCAGUCUUGGAUAAUUUGUCUUAAAAAUGCAACCAAAUUGACACUGGUAUGCCUGUCAUUAUAGUCGAUACAGCCUAAUAAAAUAGAAUAGUGUUUUUAUUAAUAUAGUGCGCAGUAACUGCUAUAGCUUUGGUUAGCACUUGAUGUCCAUCCGUCAGUACAAAGGCACACCGCGUAUGCUUCUUUUAAAUUACGAAAACAAGAUUCAAAAACUUCUGUGUACGUUUUGGGGAUGAGUGUCUUUGAAAGGGUUUUUCUUGUUGGGAGUUGGUACCCCGGACAAUGAGAAACUAAUUCAAUGAGUGUUUUAAACUCUGGUUCGUCUACUAUUCUUAAUGAAUGGUGACCCUUGGUCACCAUGGCCACCACUUGCUUAUCAACUUGUUCCGUCUUUCGCGACGAUGGUGGUCGUCGAAUAAAGUUGGUAAUUGAUGGCACAUUAAGCGGUUGUCUAAAUGUGGUUGGCAAGUCUAAAUGUUGAUUUGGUGGUUUCAGUGCCGUCGCGUGGUGUUGGUGGUGAUACUGGUGAUGCAGAUUGUCGUUCAAUAUUCAACGAUACGGUCGUUUUGUGGUUAAAUGUCUUUUUAAAUUACCAAGAGAUCCACUUUUUGUGAUUAGUUUGGUCGAACAAUAAUUACAAAUGGCUUCGUUUAGCCCUUCCUUAAAAUGGAACCAUAAGUUGCUUCUUUUUGGUCGUCUUUGAGCCAUAAUUAAAUUGUACUUUUACUGUAACUUAAUCUGCUAAAAGUCACUUGUAACACACACACACACUUAAUAGUUAUUUUUUUUUAAUUUAUCAGCAAGCAAAUGGCGAACAAUUAAUAAAAUGUUUAUUUUAAAACAAUUAACAGGCACGAAAGUUAGUUAGGCUAGGUAACAUUCCAAAAUAAAAAGCGUCCAAGAUCGCAAAUACUUAUAAACAGCAAACAAAACACUUUACAAUAAUUUAUAACUUGCACGAUCAAAAAUGCGCGCCGAAAGAUCGGUUGUUUUGUUUGUACUCCGCAGUCGCACAUACUAUAGGUAUAAACUUCCAAUUUGCGAACACAGCUCUGUGUUUGGGCGAUAAGCUAAAAUAGACAUUAAGGCAUUGAAAUAACGCGCAUCUCAUCUCAUUCUUGCGAAUUCCGUCGAUCGGGUUCGGAUAGAAUCGUCAUUCGUCGGCUAUUCUCUCUCGUUCUCAUUCAUUCACAGACACAUCGAAUGAAAACGUAUAUCGUUUCUGUCAAACAAUCAGAACGACUGUUUCAUUUCUCGUUCGGGCGAUGUACGAGUUCGGAAAGAGCUAUUUGACCUAUUAGACCGGUUACAAGCCAGCGUUCGGAAACGUUUCUUCUAGUACAGUGCGAAGAUACGGCUCCUAUUCGUUCAUCGUUCACGAACUACACAAGACUAGAUACAAGGAAGGUACCACAAACACCCAGACCCGAGAUAAGAAAUAAGAGGAAAAACUAUAAAAAGACACCCAAAGAACCCAGAUUGGACAAUUUGGAGCAACUGUGGACAGACUUUAAAGAUGGCCACAAGUCUAUUAUACUAUAAGUGUGGAACAUCAUGAAGCCUACAGAAACAGGAAUCUUACUUUUCUAUAAAUGUCCAGGUCAGCAAAGUAAGGGUUACAUUAUUAUUCUUCUUUGAAAUGGACAUGUCAUCCAAUAACAUUUUUUUUUAUAUCAAGCAGUUGUCGGACCAUUUGGCAAUUUCAUGGACAUUAUGGCUCGAUGGGCUGGCAGUACAGAGGACAGCAGAAUAUUUCAGAUGUGUUUGUUGUGCAACAAAUACAUACAUUAACAACAUACUGGUUAUCUCUUUGGAGACAGUGGAUAUAAUCCUUGUUUAAGGUUCCUGCUAACACCUGUCGGUACUCCAACAACCCAUGCGGAAUAAACAUACAAUAGAGUGCAUGUAAAAACAGAAAUUAGGUGGAAAGAACCUUUUAGAAAUGGAAACGGCGGUUUAGGGGAUUGGGCAACAAAUUGACCACAAUGUCAAAUAUAAUUGUAGCAUAUGCUGCACUUUUUAAUAUGUCAUUGUCUACAAAUGAGAUGAUGACUUCAUACGAAGAAGAUAGUGAUAUCAAUGAAGAAGUCAUAUACAUAUAAUGCCACCAACAGUGAUGGGACUACCGAUGGGUUUGCUUUUAGAAACACACUUAUUAAUAAUUACUCUUGAUUUUAUAUUAGUUUUUCUAUCAAUAAACAACUAUUUAAAAAUAAUCAUCUUUUUAUUUAUAUAUAACACAAAAUCAAUAAAAUAAACACAAUAAAUAAAAAGAACUUUAGGGUCAUCUGCGGAGAUCUCUUUUGCUCUCACAAUGUUCUUAAUACAAAUAAUUUAACAAUGGUAAACUAUUAUCAUUAAUCACAACACAAAGUCAACAACUAUAAAAUAAACACAAAAAAUAAAAACGUGCUAUAGGCUCAUCUGCGGAGAUCUCUCUGCUGUAAAAAAUAUGUACAUUCAAAUUACUAAUAUCACUUGUGACGUUGUGCUGACUCGGUUUUAGCUUUCGCUUCUUUUAAUUUUUCAGUCAUAAUUUGUAUUUCUAUAUUGUGUUUUUCUUGCAGAAAUUUCACUUGGAGCUUGUGUUAUUCUUCUGCUCUUUUUUCUCUGCUGAUAUGUUCUGCUUUAAAAAAUUUGCACACGCUGUUUUUUUUUCCAUUUGAUGACAAUUCAGGGCUAAUUGCAUCAGAUUGAAUUUCGCUAUGUGAGAUAAUUGGAUUUUGUCCUGGAGGAUCAGAAACAGUGGGGGUUACAUUCGUUUCCAUGCUAGUAGUUUCCUGAACAGUUUCUACCUCUGAAGUUAAAUUAAAACGUCUUUAAUAUUCUUAGGGCCGCUUGCGCCAAAAGUUGAGUUAAAUUGGGUAACUCCGAGUUUAGUAACUCUGGGUUAAAGUGUUAAAAUUUUAACUCUAACAUUGUAUUGCGCCAGGGGAAAUUAACCUUUGGUUUUUCCUUCCUUCCAACCUUCUGGUUUUUUAUUUUACGCUGGUAACAAUACAAGGUAUUCAUUCUGUUUUAAUAUCCGGCAAAAUAUGAAUGAGCGAAUGAUGACCGAAAUAUGUAUACUUGUCUCUUUUGCACUACUGUAUUUUGUAUACCAUUAUCUCCUUACUUGAACUUGACACCGACUUUUCAUUUUGAUCGUUUGUUGUUUGAAAUUAAUCAUCGUCAAGACGUCAAUUUCACUUUGCGCGUUAGAAAGAUAACCUAAACGAAUUCUUUUAUUAAAACUGUUUAUUUUCUUCCUUCAGAGCACGGAUUUGACGCCGUGUAGUAAACGUGUGUUACAUAUAUAGUAUUACAUAUUUUAAUAGUCCGUGUUUUGGAGAGUGAUUUAAUUGUAAUAUUUGUGUUUGUGCGUAAAUCGCGAGCAUGGAAAAGAAAAACCGUUUACGAGGGCCUAAUUUCACAAAGAGUGACAGUAUAUUGCUGUGCGACGUAAUAAAUAACUUUAAACAUAUCAUAGAAUGUAAAAAGACCGACGGAGUCAAUCUUAUGGAAAAACAUAAAGCCUGGCAGGAAGUGGUAAAAAUAUACAAUUCGUCGACCACCGGUUCGCAACGAACUUUAGAAAGUUUACAACAGAAUUAUAAAAACUUAAAGAAAAAAAUUAAAAAAUCUGCUUCUGAUGCUAAAAUGAAUAUACCAGUUCUGGAAUUGGUCCACAGUGUUGAAGAGUUUGGCACCUCCUCUGAUGGCUGGGAAAAAAUUUCUCAUAACAUGGGGGUAUCAACAGAAACGUGCCAAGAAGUUUUGGCCAAUCUGAAGAAAGAGGCAGAUCGAAAAGAUGCAAUUUUAAAAAAGAAUGUUAUGGGUACAGGUGGAGGACCAGCACCAAAUUAUGAUCCAGACCCAUUGUUGGGAAAAGUUAAAGUUUUAGUUGGUCCUGCUAUCGAUGGCCUGUAUACAAUAUAUGAUGGUGACAGUUGUUUAAUGGCAUCCCAACCAGCAGCUGAGCCUGUUGAAGCCAUUAAUAUGCAAACAGAUACACAAGAAGACAAUCAGCACGGGGAAAAAAAUACCACAUUGCAACUUACUAACGUCACACAACAUGGAAUAUUUUACAAAUGACAGGGCAAACUUAAAAAAGAAGCCCCACUCUUUAUUAGUUUAGAACAUUAAAAAUAAAAAAAAGAAUCACUCAGAAAUGCCGCAGAAACAAUCUGUUUCAACAAAAUUUAUAAGUUUGGCAAGUGAAAAGCUAGAGUUGGUGGCUUUGCAAAAAGAAUUACUCCAAAUUCAAAUAAAAGAGGAAACAGAAAAGUCAGAGCAUGGUCGUUUACUCCGUGAUAUGGAAAAGGAAGAUGCAAAAAAAAAAUGAACAUAAUGAAUUAAUUAGAAAAUUUGAAUUAGAAAAUAUUAAGGUGCGUUUUU